ensembl:lncRNA
UUAUUAUUAUUAUUAUUAUUCUUUCUUAUUAUUUUGUGUUAUAGGUAAUCAAUACAAUUGAUUUUCUUAAACAUAAAACAUCCGCCUGAUAUUUUAAUAGUAAUAUAUAUAUUUUUAAACCUUUAAUUGUACAUGAUGUGAAUUUUUAAAUUCAUGUAUUGCUGGAAGUCUCGUUUGUAAAUACUCACCUGAACAGUUUGAAACACCGACUUCCUGUAGAUCUGUAUUUUCAUUUUAAUUACCUUACCUUUUUUUUUGUUGUUGUAUAUAUAUAUAACACCUCCACACUCACACCCACUUCAAGCGCCUUAAAAAUACGAUAUUUAUUUUAAUGCCAAAUCGUCCCUUGAAUAAAAUGCUAACGUUACGUUUUCCAUUUUUACUUCUUACACAAAGACCAGAUAUUUAAUUAAGAGCUAUCAGCGUCCUAGAUUAUAGGAUUUCCAUUUCAGAGCAAAUCUUGCUCAGCCUUUUAUUGAUUGUCUUACCAUAUUUUCACUUAAAAAAAAAAAUGAACAAAUCUCCCAAGAUAGCUGUUUUUGUGUCUUCUAUCGAAUCCAUAUUUUCUACCGUCCCAAAUAAUACCCGGGUUUGAUGAUACACCUGUAUUAUGUGCUAAUGUGAUCUAAAAAUUCAGCGAGAUACCAAAAAAAACGAUGAUAUCGGAUUGUACGCUUAUCAUACCAUUCUAACUCUAAUUCUGAUGGGGAACGAACAUGUGCAGCUCUUUCUUAGCUCCUGAGCCAGUGAGGACUUGUCGAGUUGCUGCAGGAUCAGAAAGAUAAUAAAUGUUUACGAUAAUGACUUCUACAUUUGCACGAGUGCACUUUCACGAAGUAAAGCACACAAACGCACCAUGAAGCACUCGCUUUAGAUGUCACAGUACCUUUUUAUCCGACAUGAUCUCUUUUCAGUGUGCACUUCUCCUGACAAGGCAAAAGGUCGUGGAAAAAGCUGACGUUUCAACGUCUCCGUAUUGUUUGUAAUUGUGAGAGAUUAUUCAAUUUGUUUCUGUAAAGGACGUCCUUAUUUUAAGAGCUUAAACACAUUGAGUAAUAAUUCACGUCAGGCGCUCAGACAAUGUCGAGUUAGAACGCUAUAUAUCAACUUGCAUUAAUAUUCUCUACACAUUGCUGGACUUACUUACAGUGUACAUCUAACUGAAUCAGAGUUUAAUAAUGAACAUUCGCACAGCUGGUCUCUUCAGCUUUGUAUAAUCAUGUUGUCUAGUUAUUCCUGUUGCUAAUCCUGUUCUUUAGUAUUACACAUUGCGUAUGUAUUCCACGGUCCUGUUGACCAGAACUGCAGUUUCACACUCUGAUCUGAGGACACACUAUUUUGCUGUACUGUAUAGGAACGGCAUAGCGUUUGGCUUGAUGUGACUUGAAUUGAGUCGUAUCGUGGCCCCUGCCCUUUAAGGAAUCUUCUCUGGGUCACUAUGCGAUUCCGCUGCAUGCGAUGUGAGUGGCAUCUCGUCAGCCAUGUGUUUCUGGCUCUCAGUCAGCAGCUGGGUCUUAUUUCCUCUUUUUCUCCUCGUCGUUGAGCCGAGAGAAAGAAGAAAAAAAAAGCGUCAGGGAGGCUUGCAGCAUGAGUCAUCCAUCGCCUCGGGGCACAUUCGGCGACUCGGCCAACUGUAAGGGCGGCCAUUGUGUUGUAGGUCUUUCCUUACACAAGACGAAAGAGCUGGCUCUGAGAUUGAGCCUGUGUUGCUUUCCCACAGAAGAAAGAGCACUUCACUCUCUCUCUCUCUCUCUCUCGCUCUCUCUCUCUCUCUCUCUCUUCCUCCCUUUCGCUGUCUCUCGAUCUCUCUCUUCCUCCCUUUCGCUGUCUCUCUCUCUCUCUCUCUCCCUCUCUCUCUCUCUCUGGCCAGAUGGUAGGUGGUGAGCGUAACUCCUACUGUCAGUCUUCACCUCGGAUGGCCUCACAGACGCUGGCCUUAAUUGUAUACAGAGUACAGACACUGGCUUCAGCUGCCAGAAUGAGCACAGGGUGGAUAGCGUUCGUCUAGCUGUCUGUAUCAUUUAUUUGGCAUGUACUAUGGUAAGCCCUGCAGGGACUACAUUAAAAUAUAACAUCCAUUUUUGGAGAACAAUACGCGUGGUCCAAAAGUAGAGGAUAUUUAUAACGUUAAAUCAAAUUCACUGUACAGGCCGCGUCAUUGUUUUCGCAUCGUUUUUUUACAAGGGAGUCCGUAGAACUCGUGGCACGAGUCGUGAUUUGGAGUCAGAUGAAGGUUUGAGCAGGCAGAAUAUUCUCAUUUUUAUUUUAUUAGGGUGCAGUAAACGGGCAGAGAAUCAGACUGGGAAAGACAUCUACAGUAUUAAUAAUAACAUUUUCCUUUCAUGUGGAUGUCAUGUCCGAGGCGUAGCGUCUGUUCACUGUUAAACCGCCUGUUUCUGGCUUCUGAAAGAAUCGACUCUUCGAAUUACGACAUAAUAUGAUUAUGUUUGAUCACGUUAUAGAGGCUUUGGAACAUGAAUGCUAUUCUUCUCUCAUUUGAACAUCUUUCACUUUUGUCAUUGGAGACAGAUUCCACCUUUCCGCUGAAGUGACAUGUGAACUGUAGACAAUUCCUGAAACAAAUGUAUACUCGAUUUUGUUCAUUUUUAACUCACGAGGACGGCCGACGUAGCUCAUGGUAUUUAUAUAUAGAGUAACACAGUGCGCAGAUAUAUGAACAUAUUUUCCAAUUCACACCUUUACAAAUCGAAUACGAUACGAAUGGGUAUUCUGCCUCUGAAUCCACCAUGACCCCCUGACCAGGAUGAAGCCAUUACCGAAGAGGAAUUCAUUAGUAAAUGGUCUGCAUGUAUAUAGUGCUUUUUUAACCUUAGCAGUUCCAUUCACCCAUUCACACACACCAAUGGUAGCAGAGCUAACUUUGUAGCAAGUCGCUAACUUGCCAUUUGGAGCAACUUGGCGUUCAGUGCCUUUCCCAAGGACACUUCGUCAUGUGGAGUCACGUGGGCCGCCAAUCCUACGAUCACACUGAAAUGGAGCGACGUUUUGAAAUCGGGCUUAAAACCCUGCGGAUUGUCUUCUCGUGUGGCUCAGACCGGGCGAGAACAGACUAGCUAAAGUAAUCUAAGCCGUGCUUGACAUGAAACAACAAAAAGACUAGACAAAAAAAAAAAAACACGAGCUAGACACGAACAGAAACUAGCCAUGCUAAAAGUAAGUCAUGCCAAAACAACAGGGCAAAGCUGGAACACUAGGGAUGGUGUACACACAUGCACAUGAGUAGGUGGAAGGCUCCGUGAGUAGCGCCCGUGCAAAUGCUUUAUUUAGA